UGUGGUCCAGUCGAGACCUGGCCAAAGUACAGCGAGAUGUGUGUAUGCUGAGCAACACCACAACCAUUGCUGAGGCCUGGGCUC